rnacentral:siRNA from 1 species
GACGCUUAUGUUUGGCGG